GAUAAUUAGGGUUAAGAGCAACACAAGAGUUGCACAGUUACUUUUCCCUUUUUCCUUUCGCAGUUUGUGAAGUAUUUGCAUCUUUAGGUUAGCAUAGAAUAUUUUAUUUGUCAAUUGUCCAUGUUAAUAUGUGUGUGCAUAAUUAUAAGAAAUAGUAGUGCUAUCCGUGGCGUGAUUAUACAAUGGAGUUGAAGAAUCUUUUAUUCAUUCUUACAUUUUUCUUUUAUAGUAGUAUUAUAAAAUAUAUAUAAUAAGUUAAUGGCUGAUUUUUGAUUUGGGUUUCCUUGGAUUUAUUUAUUUAUUUAUUUAUUAUUAUUAUUAUACAAUUACAAAAACUUGUGAUCAAUAACUAGCCACUACCUAAUAUAGGAUAAUUCGAGAGCUACGGUUUUGUAAUUGGUCUUUAGGCUUAGAGUAUUUAGAAACAAGAAUUUAUAAAAAAGUUGUCAUUAGAUUUUUACUCUUAUGGAAAUUAAAUAUAUUGGAACAUAUUUUGAAUGUUUCGAAACUUUGAGGAAGGGAAAGACGUUUGCAGACUAACUGCAUUUAGAUUCGUUGGUUGAGGUAGGUUGCGGUUUAAUUAAAAUUUAGACUCGACUUAAUUGUGUUUAUGCUCCUAAAUUGGUUACUUGUGGAUUGGUACUCGGAAAUGCUUGAAAUUGUUGAUGUUUGGAUUGUUGAUUCGUGCAUAAAUAUUUAUUAAAAAUUGACUUGAUGAAAUUGUGUAUAAAUUGGUUACUUGUGUAUAAAUGUUUAUUGAAAAUUGGCAUGCUGUGAGGUUGUGUAAAUUGAUAUUGAUAAUACUUGGUUAUGUUUAUGUUGGAUCGGGUACCACGCCGGUACGUUUACAUUUAUGUUGGAUCGGGACCACACCGGUACGUUUAUAUUUAUGUUGGAUCGGGUACCAUGCCGGUACAUUUAUAUUCAUGUUGGAUCGGGUACCACACCGGUACAUUUAUAUUUAUGUUGGAUCGGGUACCAUGCCGGUACGUUUAUAUUUAUGUUGGAUCGGGUACCACACUGGUAUGUUAAUAUUUAUGUUGGAUCGGGUACCACACCGGUACGGUACAUGAACAUAGAUUGUUCCCUGCAGGUCAUGACUAUUUGGGCAAAAAUAAGUCUCAUAACAUGUGUGUACAUAUUUGUGUUAUUUCUAUGGAUAUUUACAGUAUGAUUGAUACUCUUGAUGGUUAUGUGGCUUGUUUGUAAGCACUGUUUGACCUGUUGUUGCUGUAAUGUUGAUUCAUUGAAUAUUUGAUGUGUAACGAUGCCUGUCUACUUGUUAUUCAAUUUAUGUUGCGUACAUACUAUUUAAUUGAGUUGUCCUAUGAUAUCUACCAAUACAUAAUGGUUUAUACUGAUACUACCCUGUGCUCUUCUUUUGUUGAGUGCGGAAAGUGUUCUAGACUCAGACAUGACCUCACCUCUAGAGUUUGCUAGCAGAUCUUGAUCCAAGGGUGAGCACUCAGUCUCCAGGCUGCCAUGGGUCAUCUUAUUUGUUCUUAUCCAUCUUCGGGCAAUGAAACAUUCUUUAUUUACUUUAUUUUUUUAUAUCACUUUAGAUAUGAUCUUUGUUAGUAGUUCUUGUACGAUGACUUUCGGGUUUUGAGAGUUUUAGUAAGUAGUUUGUUUGAAUUUCUG
rnacentral:lncRNA from 1 species